CAUAUGCUAGCUUAACAUGAUGUACUACAUUCACUGUUAUAUUACAUAUAUUGUGUAUGUAGAAACAUGGCCAGUUAAAAAGGUGAGUUGCAGGAUUUAUUUGUCAUCUGCAAUCUAGGAGUAAUUAGCUUUACUCAAAUAUAAAUACACAAACUCUCCCACCUUGUGAGGUAUAAGGGCUUCAGUAUUAUCAUAGCCUAUUAUCUCUGUAGCCAAAUUAUAUGUCCAUCACAUUUGAUGUUUCGUCUGCUCCCGCUCCUAAUGAUGCACACUCUGUCCGGACAACCACUCACACCUAAGUUGUUAUAUAAUUGACCUGGUCUUCUCGAUUUGGAUCAACUUUAGCUGCCGAGUGAGAAUUGGGUACUUGGGAGAUUCUCCUAAAAAAUCAGUUGAGAUGCGGAUAGCUCUUUUUUUCGGACCUGGCUUGCGAAUUCCAUGACAUUGGAAUAUUAGUUAUACAUUUGUAGUUAUAUGGGCUAUGGACAGUAGAGCACCUUCAGGACCAUGUCAAGAAAUUUACUCAGAUUUGGGUGAUUAGUCCCUGCAUCUAUGAAUUAGCACCAAAUACAGUAAUACUUGGACCUAUUUACUAUGAUACUAUAUAUGAGAGAAAAUCUACAGAAUACCAAUCACACAUCAGAAAAUAUAGAAAACACUUGAAACUUCAAACUUCUUGCUGGACGCAGCAUUGACACCAAAACAUGAUAGGAUUUCAGCCUUUAGACUAAAUACCACGAAACUAAUCAACUUACAACCAGUUUAUAAAAUUACAUUCCUUCGCAAUCAUUGCAUAGAUAUUAAAGACCAAAAUAUGAGAUCUUCAUUGCACAUAGAUAAAAAGAUGCUGCAAAGCACAUUUACCUGAAUUUCACCACAUACAUAUUAAAGACCA
rnacentral:lncRNA from 1 species